UAUUUUUCACACCAGCAGGUGGACGCAGCAGUGAGUAAAUCAUCUGCAUCUUUUGGACGUGAGGCUGCACGUGGCACUCUGUGGAUAAUGCAUGCACAUCUGCUCAUCGCUUCUUUUUUGCAAAGUGCGCCUGUCACCCAUAAAUCCAUCACAUCCACGGCCAAAGGCUCCUUCAGAACGAGCCAAAUUGCAGUUUCAGGUGUUGGGUCUUCUCUCACAGUCUCUCUUGCACGCACACUGGCUUGUGCACACAGGGACCUCCUGACCGGGCCCGGGGCGGUUGUGGAUGUGUAGGGUCUUUCAGGAGAGCAAAGCUGACUUGAGGACAGACAGCAAAGCAGUAGCAGCAAAGCCCCGCAGCCCCUCGGAGAGUUCUUUUCAUUCCCGGAACCAAGAGUGGGAGGAAAUGGCCCCUAGGAAGUGUCUUAUUUUCUCAUUUGUUAGACGCCGCUGUCAGCCUGGGAGAGCAGGCACUCUCUGUUGUGAAUCAGCCCAGUUGGAUGAGCUCAUGCUGUGGGGGCUGCAGCCCGCCGCCCCUGCACCCACUCCAUUAGCUGCAGGGAGGUGAGCUCCGCGAGGGGCGGGCCAGGGCGCCACAUCAGAUCACUCCCCUUCACGGAACCCAGUCUAAGUGUGGGAUGGCCCUGUCAUGGCUCACACCAAAUAAAACUGAGUCCAGGACAGCGCUGUGAGCCCUCACCACACCCUUAGCUGGAGGCCACAGGUGGCGGGGCUCAGGUCCGAAGCCCUUCAGCAAAGUCCUGGUGUGGGGCCUUGGAGAAGCCACCAAUGUCUCAAGCCUGCUCUCACCUCCUCAUGGGAGGGUCAGGUGGGGCCAUGCAGUUGAAAGACAUCAACAUUCGCCACCCGCACAAGCGGCCUGGGCAGAGGCUGGCUGCAGGCCCCUAGUCCCCACCUCUGCUCCUUCUCCCAGCCUGGCCUGGGUAGUUGUGGGGCGGGGAGUCUGAGGCAGGGGGUGCCGGAGGAGGCCGUGCCCUUGAGAUGCUGGGAGAGUGCUGAUCUCCCGCUCCUGGAUGUGUGGCCGAGGCCUCCUGAGUGUGCCUGGGUCCCGCCUGCCUGGGGCCACCGUCAGCCUCCCUGAUGCUUCGAACACCAUAGCUGCCUCUCCUUCCUCGCCGUUCCCUAGAGGAAAGUCCUUCUCACCCUGUGCAAGGAGCUCUUGGUUUGGGAAGAGACUGGACAGGACCCCCAAUGACAGCUCAGUCUGGGAAGGCAGCCGAUCUUUCUCAGGCCUGGGUACAGGUUUAUGUGGGAUCCUGGGCACAACAUUUACCUUCUGCACCCAUGGGAAACCUGCCCAGGAAGCAUGGCCCACACCAGGCAGAGUGCACACACCAUUUUUAUUAAGCAGAGUGGCGAGAGCGCAGUGGCUGUGAGGUCCUUCCAGGACCCCGCUUGUGGACAGCUCCCAGCAGCUGCAGCUCACUCCCAGCCCCAGCUGACUCCCAGACCCUCAGUGAGCCCUGGGCUGGAUCAAAGUACAGGGACGAUCCUGUGGGUGCACCCCAGCAUGGCAAGCUUCCAGGAGACCCUAGACCCCGGCUGGGGGUCAGGAAGGCUCUCGCCUCCGUGCUUCUGAGUCCAUAGGAAUUGAGUCUCUGGCCACACGAGGACAGAAUCAGCUACAUCUGAAGAACCUGGAGCUAGAAGAUGAGGGCAAUUAAGUCAUGCGCCUCGGCAAGUUCAUUAAAAUGUUGACUUGCUAAUGGUCCCGGGUGCAAUUUGGAAUGAGGGUGUUAACAUAGAGACUUGGUCUAUUCGGGAACUCCCUGGUCUGAAAAUGGAGCUGCCAAGCUUCUAAUAUGCCCUCCACAGACUAGAGCUCCGACACAUGAAUUAUUAAUGCCGCAUCAUAUUAAUUGUAUUGAUAUGUUAAUAAUUAACAACAAUAUGCUAA
ensembl:lncRNA novel transcript